rnacentral:misc_RNA from 1 species
GAUGAAGAACGCAGCGAAAUGCGAUAAGUAAUGUGAAUUGCAGAAUUCAGUGAAUCAUCGAAUCUUUGAACGCACAUUGCGCCCGCCAGUAUUCUGGCGGGCAUGCCUGUUCGAGCGUCAUUUCAACCAUCAAGCCCCCGGCUUGUGUUGGGGACCUGCGGCUGCCGCAGGCCCUGAAAACCAGUGGCGGGCUCGCUGUCACACCGAGCGUAGUAGAUUUUCAUCUCGCUCAGGGCGUGCUGCGGGUUCCGGCCGUAAAAAGCCUCAUUUACCCAAGGUUGACCUCGGAUCAGGUAGGAAGACCCGCUGAACUUAAGCAUAUCAAUAAGCGGAGGA